UACGUAGGUGGCAAGCGUUGUCCGGAUUUACUGGGCGUAAAGAGCGCGCCGGCGGUCAGAUAAGUCGAAUGUGAAAGCCCCCGGCUCAACUGGGGAGGGUCAUUCGAUACUGUUCGACUCGAAGGCAGGAGAGGGAAGUGGAAUUCCCGGUGUAGUGGUGAAAUGCGUAGAUAUCGGGAGGAACACCAGUGGCGAAGGCGACUUCCUGGCCUGUUCUUGACGCUGAGGCGCGAAAGCUAGGGGAGCAAACGGG
rnacentral:rRNA from 1 species